CGCACAUAUUUGAGAGUCUGAAACCACAGUCAACAUUUAGCAACGAUUCCUUAAUUUCUCACACUUCUGCUUCCUAAACAUAAGCCGUAAAACACAGGCUGCCCAUACCGUCUAGAGUCACCCACUGUGAGACCCAGAGUUUGUUUGAUGAAGAUGAUGAGUGUGUGAUUAUAUUUGAUAGUGGGACUCUAUAGGGCCGAAGGCAGUGAAAUGAUUGACAUUAACAGAUCUGAGAGUGUUAUGAAUUUGCUUACCCUCACAAAUCCUCUAUCAAUCCAGAGUCAUGUUACUUUAGCUCACAAAAAAGCUCACAUUUACCCAGCUAUUUUCAGAGCAAAAUAUAUACCACAGAGAUCACUCUUUGUAACGUGUGAGGCGUGACAGAGAUGAGGAUCCAAAUGCAGCUUUUAUUCACAAGAGUGGUCAAAACAGGCAGGGUCAAAUACCAGCAAACAGGUACAAUCCAGGGUGAGACAAAAGAGUAAUCCGAUAAACAGUCCAAGGUCAAAAAAAGGCAAGGCAAAGCAAGGCAAGGAAUCACGGACACUAGGAACAGGGCACAGGCUAAACAAUCAGCAAUGCGUGUGUGGAUGAGUGCAACCUUUAUACUAUCACUGAUAGGAAACAGGUGUAGUGCAAUAAUGAGUUCCUAGGCAGGGGUUUAUGGGGAAUGGAGUCCAGAGAGAACCAAGACAAAACCCCUUAUCGUGACAGAGCCCCCCAACUAAGAGCAGAUUCCAGAAGCUCCAAACAGAAUUACGAGAAAAACUCAGUCCACAGUGGAGUUGAUGGAGGGAGCAACCAUGCGGAGAGUAAAACAGGAGGUUUCAGGGGUCUGACUGAUAGAAACGGAGCCGGUGGACCCAAGGCGAAGACGGAGAGCCGAAGAGCCAGGUUGACACUGAGGGAUUGGAGGGCCAUGGUGGAGCCAACGACUCUGGCGACCGAGGCGAAGGUGGGGUUCCAGAAGCCUGCGGUGGAACCAGAGCAACGAAGGACCAAUGAGGAGCCAGAGGGAGAGAGGAGCCCAACGGAGCCGGAGGGAUGGAGGGACGAGGUGAAGCCGGAGGAAUGUAGUCCUGAGGCGAGGGCACGUUGACAAAUGACCAAGGUGGAGCUGGAGGAAUUAGGAAGCCUGGCGGAGCUGGUGGACUGACGGGCCACAAUGGAGAUGAGGGAGCUUUGAGCCAAGGUUACACCAAAGGGUCAACGGACCGAAGUGGAGUCCAGGUCUCGAAGGCCGGAGAUGAAGAUCUGGGAUCCUUCCAAGCUUGGGGCAGCUGGAGGCUGGCUGUCCCGAGGCGAAUCCUGACUGUUUACCACCCUCAAAGGAUGACCUGAGGGACAGACAGAUAAAAACGGAGACAGAGCAAACAGCAUAACAGGUAGAGGAGGAGGAGGGAGAGGGAGGUUGGGUGGGACAAGUUCAACAUAGUGACUAUUCAGUGUGGUAGAGCAGGCAAAGAGUUCCGAGAUGGCCUCCUUGGCCAUUACUGGACAAUCAGAGAGUUCAAAUACAGCCUCCAUAGCCGUCACAGGACAGGCAGAGAGUUCACAUACGGACUCCAUAGCCGUAACAGGACAGGCAGAGAAUUCAUAAAUGAAAGCCACCACCUCUGGAGGUUCUGCAGCGGAUGCCGCCACCUCUGGAGGUUCUGGAGUUAGAUCAGAAACUGUUGUGGCCUCGUGAGCAGAUUCAUAGGCUGAAACACCCUCAGGAGGAGUAAUUGAGCAGUAAGUUGCCCAAACACAAAGGAUAGCUACCCGCGUAACAGGGAGCACUGAGUGGAGGGGAAUAGUAUUUGGAAUAACCUGUGCUGAGGCCCUUGGAAUGCCCGCUGCUUUAGCCGAGACCAGCAGUGGAUCUGACACACUGGAUGCCAGUCUCAGAUACCUUGGGACUGGCCUCGUAGCAAUGGUCAUGGUUGACCCGGCAUGAGAAGACUCUGGAUGAUCAACUGCAAUGUGACGCAACUCUGGAUGAACAGCUGAGACAUAAUGAGGCUCUGGGAGAUCAGCUGAGACAUGAUGUGACUCAGGAAGAUCGGCUGUGACUUGACUCUGAGAUGACAGCUGUGAUGUGACGAGACUCUGGAAUGGCUGCCAUGAUGGGACGACACUCUGGAAUGGCAGCCAUUUUGUGGAAAGUCUCUGAGCUGGCAGCCAUUUCAUGAACAUUCUCUGGACUGGCAACCAUUUUGGGAAGAGGCUCUGGAGUGGGAGAUACUGCAGGACUGCUGUGUUCCUCCUCCACAACACCCACAGUAAAUGCAGAGCCACUUUGCUGAAGUGCCAGAGCUAUGUAAAAAUCCAGUGACCAGUUUGGAUCGUGCAGUGGCAUAAUCGAUUGCAGCGGCUCAGCUAGGCCUCCUCGGAAAAAUAUCAUGAGGCACAUCUCGUCCAUAGAUGUUAAAUGAGCCAGUUCAAUAAAGUCCAACACAUAAUCCUCAAUAGACCGCUCACCUUGACAAAGACCAAUUAUUUUUGCUGCUGGAUUCAUGGCUGGCCUGGAUACACUCAUAAAGCUGCUGGAUCCGGGUGUGGGCUGAUUAUUCUGUAAUGUGGGAGGCGUGACAACAGAGUUGAGGAUCCGAAUGCAGCUUUUAUU
ensembl:lncRNA